rnacentral:rRNA from 1 species
UAGAUGGAUGUUUAAGUCAGUUGUGAAAGUUUGCGGCUCAACCGUAAAAUUGCAGUUGAUACUGGAUAUCUUGAGUGCAGUUGAGGCAGGCGGAAUUCGUGGUGUAGCGGUGAAAUGCUUAGAUAUCACGAAGAACUCCGAUUGCGAAGGCAGCCUGCUAAGCUGCAACUGACAUUGAGGCUCGAAAGUGUGGGUAUCAAACAGGAUUAGAUGCCCUGGUAGUCCACACGGUAAACGAUGAAUACUCGCUGUUUGCGAUAUACAGCAAGCGGCCAAGCGAAAGCGUUAAGUAUUCCACCUGGGGAGUACGCCGGCAACGGUGAAACUCAAAGGAAUUGACGGGGGCCCGCACAAGCGGAGGAACAUGUGGUUUAAUUCGAUGAUACGCGAGGAACCUUACCCGGGCUUAAAUUGCAGAUGAAUUACGGUGAAAGCCGUAAGCCGCAAGGCAUCUGUGAAGGUGCUGCAUGGUUGUCGUCAGCUCGUGCCGUGAGGUGUCGGCUUAAGUGCCAUAACGAGCGCAACCCUUGUUGUCAGUUACUAACAGGUUUUGCUGAGGACUCUGACAAGACUGCCAUCGUAAGAUGUGAGGAAGGUGGGGAUGACGUCAAAUCAGCACGGCCCUUACGUCCGGGGCUACACACGUGUUACAAUGGGGGGGUACAGAGGGCCGCUACCACGCGAGUGGAUGCCAAUCCCCAAAACCUCUCUCAGUUCGGACUGGAGUCUGCAACCCGACUCCACGAAGCUGGAUUCGCUAGUAAUCGCGCAUCAGCCACGGCGCGGUGAAUACGUUCCCGGGCCUUGUACACACCGCCCGUCAAGCCAUGGGAGCCGGGGGUACCUGAAGUGCGUAACCGCGAGGAGCGCCCUAGGGUAAAACUGGUGA